rnacentral:rRNA from 1 species
GACGAACGCUGGCGGCGUGCUUAACACAUGCAAGUCGAACGGAAAGGCUCCAGCUUGCUGGAGUACUCGAGUGGCGAACGGGUGAGUAACACGUGGGUGAUCUGCCCUGCACUUCGGGAUAAGCCUGGGAAACUGGGUCUAAUACCGGAUAGGACCGCACUUUGGUGUGUGUGGUGGAAAGGUUUUUCUGGUGUGGGAUGAGCUCGCGGCCUAUCAGUUUGUUGGUGGGGUAAUGGCCUACCAAGACGGCGACGGGUAGCCGGCCUGAGAGGGUGGACGGUCACAUUGGGACUGAGAUACGGCCCAGACUCCUACGGGAGGCAGCAGUGGGGAAUAUUGCACAAUGGGGGAAACCCUGAUGCAGCGACGCCGCGUGGGGGAGGAAGGCCUUCGGGUUGGAAACUCCUUUCGCUAGGGACGAAGCUUUUUGUGACGGUACCUGGAGAAGAAGCACCGGCUAACUACGUG